UCCGAGUUGACCCCGGCAGUCUCCUAUGAGUCCCCGCCAUUACGCGCUGGCAACAUAGAACGAGGGUUGCGCUCGUUGCGGGACUUAACCCAACAUCCCACGACACGAGCUGACGACAACCAUGCACCACCUGUACAGGGUCCCUUGCGGACCCGACAUUUCUGCCGGAUUACCCUGUAUGUCAAGCCUUGGUAAGGUUCUUCGCGUUGCAUCGAAUUAAUCCGCAUGCUCCGCCGCUUGUGCGGGCCCCCGUCAAUUCCUUUGAGUUUUAGCCUUGCGGCCGUACUCCCCAGGCGGGGCACUUAAUGCGUUAGCUACGGCGCGGAAAACGUGGAAUGUCCCCCACACCUAGUGCCCAACGUUUACGGCAUGGACUAC
rnacentral:misc_RNA from 1 species